AGGGGUAGAGCUCUGUGGAAGAGAGCUUGCCUAACAUAUGCAAGGCCCUGGGUUCAAUCCCUAGUAUCUCAA
rnacentral:tRNA from 1 species